CUGGCUCAGGACGAACGCUGGCGGCGUGCUUAACACAUGCAAGUCGAACGGUGAUGUCAGAGCUUGCUCUGGCGGAUCAGUGGCGAACGGGUGAGUAACACGUGAGUAACCUGCCCCCGACUCUGGGAUAACUGCUAGAAAUGGUAGCUAAUACCGGAUAUGAYGAUUGGCCGCAUGGUCUGGUCGUGGAAAGAAUUUCGGUUGGGGAUGGACUCGCGGCCUAUCAGGUUGUUGGUGAGGUAAUGGCUCACCAAGCCUACGACGGGUAGCCGGCCUGAGAGGGUGACCGGCCACACUGGGACUGAGACACGGCCCAGACUCCUACGGGAGGCAGCAGUGGGGAAUAUUGCACAAUGGGCGCAAGCCUGAUGCAGCAACGCCGCGUGAGGGAUGACGGCCUUCGGGUUGUAAACCUCUUUUAGUAGGGAAGAAGCGAAAGU
rnacentral:rRNA from 1 species